rnacentral:antisense_RNA from 1 species
GGUCAAGAGAGCCUCCCCUCCCCACCAUUCCCAGAAAAGGAGGAAGGGGCUGAUGGACUCUCUGGGAACCCCCUCCCCUCCCUGCGCCCCGUCAUCAAGAGGAAAAUUCGAAGAAAAGGUUUAGCAGGGACAGAGAAGCGACCUGUCCCGGAAACCCCUUAAAGCCUGCGAGUCAGUUCAAACUGGAAUCUGUCAGGCCCGUCCCGCUCGGGGUUGGUGAGGUCUGAGGGACUUCGGGGGAUCUUGCUCUGGUACCACUCUCGAUUGUCCUCCAGCGUGUCCAGCAGGUCCUGUGCGUCUGGGUGGACCAGUGUCUACCAGCUUAGCCCAGUCCCCUGCCAACCUGGGACUUCUCCACUGAGGCCGUAUGCUUGUCACACAUGGGACUGAUGUCCAGGCCCGACUCACGCUCGCGGUCUCCCUGCUGGAAGAACUCGGCCAUGAUGCGAGACAGGGUCUUGCUGUCACCCAGGCUGGAGUGCAGUGGUGCAAUCACGGUUCCCUGCAGCCUCAACCUCCUGGCCUCAAGUGAUCCUCCCAUCUCAGCCUCCUGAGUAGUUGGGAUUACAGGAACCAAAGCAGUGACUCAACAAAGCUCACCCAGGAAGGUCCGGGAGAUGUACUCGGACACCUGGUUCCCGGAGCGGCUGGUUUCGGACAGGUGGGUCAACUCCCGGUUCAGGAUCCGCUUGAACUGGGGCGGAGGGAAGGUGAAGACCGUGAUGAUGGGGCACCGUGGGCCGAGGCAGGUGAGCUCAGCGAUCUGCCCCACCUCACCUUGUUGGAGGCCAUCUCCCCCACCGAGUGCCGGGUCUGCAGCGUCUCCAACUGAUCCAGGCACCAGUCCAGCUCGUC